AAGGUAGGUCUCGUUGGUGACCAGCGGAGGGAUCAUUA
rnacentral:rRNA from 1 species